rnacentral:rRNA from 1 species
GAUGAACGCUGGCGGCGUGCUUAACACAUGCAAGUCGAACGGAAAGGCCCAAGCUUGCUUGGGUACUCGAGUGGCGAACGGGUGAGUAACACGUGGGUGAUCUGCCCUGCACUUCGGGAUAAGCCUGGGAAACUGGGUCUAAUACCGGAUAGGACGAUGGUUUGGAUGCCAUUGUGGAAAGUUUUUUCGGUGUGGGAUGAGCUCGCGGCCUAUCAGCUUGUUGGUGGGGUAAUGGCCUACCAAGGCGUCGACGGGUAGCCGGCCUGAGAGGGUGUACGGCCACAUUGGGACUGAGAUACGGCCCAGACUCCUACGGGAGGCAGCAGUGGGGAAUAUUGCACAAUGGGCGCAAGCCUGAUGCAGCGACGCCGCGUGGGGGAUGACGGCCUUCGGGUUGUAAACUCCUUUCGCUAGGGACGAAGCGUUUUUGUGACGGUACCCGGAGAAGGAGCACCGGCUAACUACGUG